UGUAGAUUAAUUUCAGGUUUUAUGAUGGAGAGAUCGCCUCCUUGUCAAAAUUGAGAGCCCACCAUAUGAGACCACGAUCGAGAAGUCUACUACCUUUUUUGUUUAUGAUCCCACUUGGUUUCCCACUUAGGUCAAGUGGAGAAUUUAUAUAAGAAAAAAAACAUUUUGCAAAAGCGGAGUUGUAUAGCGGUCAAACUGGAACGAGGUGAUUUGAAUGUUUACAAAAGACGACAACUACUCUUAUCACAUUAUUCUUGCAUGAUGCGUAAUUCACGUGUUCGUACAGUAGCGCAUUAAGACGCAACUUAGCUAGUUUUCGUAUUAUCUUUCAAUCAAAGACCAAUUUUAUUUUUAAUUAAUUUUAAAUACUAAACGUAGGUAUGGCUUGUGUUAAAUAAACGUAGUUGUGUCUUUUGUUUAUGAACGGCACAUUUGCAUUCAUUAUCAAACGAAUUUAUAUUUAAGUCUA